CGAUACGCAAAGGAAGGACUCACUUUCCCAAGAUACAUUGGUUGUCGGUGUACCUGAGUAGGGAACAUUCAGUCAGCGUUCUCGGCCCUGAAUUCAUUACCUGUACUAGUAGUAGCUUGAGUGACGUCUCGAAGUGAAGGUGUGUUACUGUUGCUCCGUGAUCAGUACUAUACAUUGAGGAGCGUGAAGAGGAACACGGGAUGAAGAGAAAUAGCAGAGGAGGACAAGGAUUAGUAGAAGCACAGGGGGAAGAGGACGAACACAGGAGGAGGAGCACAGGAGGAUGGUGAGGAAGAGAAACAGAACAACAACACCUAUGGCGGCCAUUAUCUGCCACGAC